AAACUAGGAUUAGAUACCCUAUUAUACUUUACAUAGAAUUUGUUUACUUGGGUAGUAAUAAGUUAUGGUCUUAAAAUCUAAAGGAUUUGGCGGUAUCCAAGUCUGGUUAGAGGAACCUGCACUGUAAACGAUAAUCCACGAACUAUCUUACUCUGUCUUGUUUAUCAGUUUAUAUACCGCCAUUAUAAAGUAAUAUUUAAAAUUAUUUAUUGAAAUAGAAGGUUUCUAGUAUAUUAGGUCAGGGUGUAGCCAAUGAUAGAGUAGUUGUGGGUUACAAUAUAAUAUUUAUAUAGACGGAUAAGGCUUUGAAAUGGUUUUAGAAGGUGGAUUUAAUAGUAAAUAUAUUUUAAUAUGGUAUAUUGAUAGUAGCUCUAGGAUAUGUACACAUCGCCCGCUCUUA
rnacentral:rRNA from 1 species